AGUCGCACGGCAGCACGGGAGCUUGCUCCUGGUGGCGAGUGGCGAACGGGUGAGUAAUGCGUCGGAACGUGCCGAGUAGUGGGGGAUAACUAUCCGAAAGGAUAGCUAAUACCGCAUACGCUCUGAGGAGGAAAGCAGGGGAUCUUAGGACCUUGCGCUAUUUGAGCGGCCGACGUCUGAUUAGCUAGUUGGUGAGGUAAAGGCUCACCAAGGCAUCGAUCAGUAGCGGGUCUGAGAGGAUGAUCCGCCACACUGGGACUGAGACACGGCCCAGACUCCUACGGGAGGCAGCAGUGGGGAAUUUUGGACAAUGGGCGCAAGCCUGAUCCAGCCAUGCCGCGUGUCUGAAGAAGGCCUUCGGGUUGUAAAGGACUUUUGUCAGGGAGGAAAUCCCUAGCGCUAAUAUCGCUGGGGGAUGACAGUACCUGAAGAAUAAGCACCGGCUAACUACGUGCCAGCAGCCGCGGUAAUACGUAGGGUGCAAGCGUUAAUCGGAAUUACUGGGCGUAAAGCGUGCGCAGGCGGUUGUGUAAGUCUGAUGUGAAAGCCCCGGGCUCAACCUGGGAACUGCAUUGGAGACUGCACAGCUAGAGUGCGUCAGAGGGGGGUAGAAUUCCGCGUGUAGCAGUGAAAUGCGUAGAGAUGCGGAGGAAUACCGAUGGCGAAGGCAGCCCCCUGGGAUGACACUGACGCUCAUGCACGAAAGCGUGGGGAGCAAACAGGAUUAGAUACCCCUGGUAGUCCACGCCCUAAACGAUGUCAACUAGCUGUUGGGGGUUUGAAUCCUUGGUAGCGUAGCUAACGCGAGAAGUUGACCGCCUGGGGAGUACGGCCGCAAGGUUAAAACUCAAAGGAAUUGACGGGGACCCGCACAAGCGGUGGAUGAUGUGGAUUAAUUCGAUGCAACGCGAAAAACCUUACCUGGUCUUGACAUGUACAGAACUUUCCAGAGAUGGAUUGGUGCCCGAAAGGGAGCUGUAACACAGGUGCUGCAUGGCUGUCGUCAGCUCGUGUCGUGAGAUGUUGGGUUAAGUCCCGCAACGAGCGCAACCCUUGCCAUUAGUUGCUACCAUUUAGUUGAGCACUCUAAUGGGACUGCCGGUGACAAACCGGAGGAAGGUGGGGAUGACGUCAAGUCCUCAUGGCCCUUAUGACCAGGGCUUCACACGUCAUACAAUGGUCGGUACAGAGGGUAGCCAAGCCGCGAGGUGGAGCCAAUCUCAUAAAACCGAUCGUAGUCCGGAUCGCACUCUGCAACUCGAGUGCGUGAAGUCGGAAUCGCUAGUAAUCGCAGAUCAGCAUGCUGCGGUGAAUACGUUCCCGGGUCUUGUACACACCGCCCGUCACACCAUGGGAGUGAGUUUCACCAGAAGUGGGUAGGCUAACCGUAAGGAGGCCGCU
rnacentral:rRNA from 1 species